rnacentral:rRNA from 1 species
CAGCAGCCACGGUAAUACGUAGGGUGCAAGCGUUAUCCGGAAUUAUUGGGCGUAAAGAGCUCGUAGGCGGUUUGUCGCGUCUGCUGUGAAAACUGGAGGCUCAACCUCCAGCCUGCAGUGGGUACGGGCAGACUAGAGUGCGGUAGGGGAGAUUGGAAUUCCUGGUGUAGCGGUGGAAUGCGCAGAUAUCAGGAGGAACACCGAUGGCGAAGGCAGAUCUCCGGGCCGUAACUGACGCUGAGGAGCGAAAGCGUGGGGAGCGAACAGGAUUAGAUACCCGCGUAGUCCCUGUCUCUUAUAC